rnacentral:lncRNA from 1 species
UUCGAUCUGGAAAACUAAGCGCGAUGCCGGAAAGCGAAUAUCCGGCGUGAUGAACAACGCUAUCGGUGUAAGUACGGACAGCGGCUCUGAAAAUGGCGCCGCCGGGAACUUCGGCGGCUUUGUUCAUCGCCGAUCGUAUCCAUGACAUCAACGCGGCGGUCUACCACCUCGAUUGGAAUGUGAACGGGCGAAAACUGAAUAUUCCGGUGAGAUUGGACGGAGGAUGGGGGCGGAGUACGGUGGCGGAAAUAUUUGCCGAUUGAAAAAUUAAGAAAAAUAAUAAAUCGAAAUUUGGUUGAACGUUUUGACCGUUCAUUACAUAGUUUAUUUCGGCUCAAAUCUGAUAUUUUAGGCUCACGAUUUGAAACGCAUCACCGACUGACUAUAAUUAGAGAAAGAUGGAAACAGGCGUGGAUUCCGGUCAGCUAGGGUUUCCUCUAUAACUGGUGGUGAUGGCUGAUGAUAAUAGAGAUGACGGUGGUGGUGGUUCUGGCUACGAUUAUAUGAUGAAUGUCGGUACAAUGUUAAAGGUUCAUAUGUAUUUUCUCCGCCGAUUUUGCGAAAGAUCAUCAGCUCAAGUAUCAUGGUUCUUCAGAGGUACAAGUUGGUCGGUGGUUAUUGUUGGUUUAGUACCUGAUAAAGCAAUGGAUCCCGACACCCCUACGUCUUCUGCAUUUGCUAGCUAUGGUAUUCAAUUGGCCGAGUAAGUACAUAAGUUCAUUUAAUUAUUUUUCUCGCGUCUUAUUUAUAGUUCUACAAAUGUUUUGUUUGUUUCCUAUGAAUAAUAUUUUUUUUCACAUGUAUAUGAUAACCAUAGGUCUUUUAAUUGCUCUCUGCUCAACAUUAAUGGGUUCACUUUUGCCUCACGUGAACAAUUGUUACUUUAUAUUAGAUGUCACUUAUGCAGUGCUUUAUAUUGAUUUGAUUAUUGGACUUACUGAGAUUUGUUUUGAACCGGGUCAUCAUGAGUAUAGGUUAAAAUGGGCCAAGUCUGACUUUCAACUUUUCAAUUAUUUCCAAUUAAUCCCUUGGUCAGUUCGCAAAUCCUGGCAUGUUCGUUAACCGUUUUAUGUUGGUGUUAUAAUAUAAAAUAUGGGUGAUUCUAUACACACACCCCUGUAAUCUUAUUUCGCAAGAUGGCGGUUCCGGAGCCUGCUUAAGCGUUGCAGAAUCUGCCGGUGUCGCCGCUUCGGCAGGCGAAGAAAAGUCGACGUGGACUGAGGUCUCGAAGCUCACAGUAUCGCGGUGUGACGUUUUAUCGGCGCACUGGUCGUUGGGAAUCACAUAUCUGAUACAAAGGUACAUAUCAUACUUAAGAAGUGGCUAUAAAGAUACUAAAAACUGAACGCUUAAACAAAGAUUUUGCAAAAAGUACUUGCCGAGGAAGUUUAUAUUUUGAUUUUUGAGGCAAGUCCGACAUACUAAUGUAGUGUAGUUUACACGAGCAUGUACCAAGCUUCCAAGUUUGUGCAUUGUAACAGUUGGAUUACUCUAAUAUGCCUAGAAGUCGAAAGGGUUCAUCAGGAGGUGGUGCUGAUUUGGAGUAUGUUCAUGCAGAUGCACGGGCUUCUGCCUACAGUUCGUUUGCAGCUGGAGCUGCAUUGAUUGCUGGUAUCUAUGGGCAAUUGGGUUUAAAAUGCAGCCUUUACUUUCUCUAAUUUUGAUUCACUUUUUAUUGAAUGGAUAAUCGGGUUACAUCUUUUCUCUAACAGGUCAAAUAGAAAGAUUUAGCUAAAGAUUAAAAAGAAAACUCAAAUGGUUCAAAUGGGCCAAAAGUCUCUCAAAGCUUAUUUAAUAGUGCACACAAUUUAGAUCGGCUUAUUAAUAUAGGCGAUUAUUUAUAAAGUCAACUGAUUUUGCCAAAAUGAGUUCAGUAUUUACACUAGGAGCACGUACUAGCGGCAUCACAGAUUGCUUUUGUAUUUCAAGUGGGUCAAAGAUGUGGCCUUCAUUUUUCAAUUGCAUCUGCGAGUCCACCACUCGCACUGGCAUCAACACAGAAGUAUUUUGAAUUGCUAGAUUACACUGACUUCUUGAGGAAAUAUAAGUUGUGGUCAAAAGAAGGUACCUUACCAAGAUUAAUGUAGCUUACAUUUAAUUGUUGUUUUUGAGCUGCAUAGGGAAUUUCGUAAGCUGCUUAUCGUAAUGUCUAAAAAUUUGCUUCGUCAAAAAGACUGCAAGUCGAAUUUAUCUGAGUUUUAUGAUGUUUAAGACUUCAAGGUCACUUGGCUUUGUUAAAUAAGGGACAAAUUUAAACGACUCACUAAGGACCAAAACGAUCAGUCGGAUCUUGAAGAAAGGAUUAGGUGUUUGGUGCUUUGCUCUGGAAAGAAAAAUCACUUACAAAGGUUCAAGUUGCCUGAGCGUGUAGUCUGCAUUGGUGGCUUUUUGCGAAUUGAGUUGUUAGCUCGGGUUCAGGUACAAGCAGCGGUCGGCAAAUACAAUAUAUGUUUGGCUCACAGUUUGACUCACAGUUUGGCUCACGUGCAAGUGAUAGGGCGCAAAUAAUCACCUGCAUUUAGUGUCGAAUUUUAUGAAUCAUCAAAAUGUAUAUCUCUGAAAUAUGAUGCUGAGGAAUUUGGACCUACAAUGAGAAGUGUUUCGAGUGAACGUGAUAGUUCGCUUAGCACACAAGUUUAGUACCCCUACAACCUCCUAAACAACUAGCUCUGGGGAACUUACAUGACUUUUUGCACAUGAUGGUAUUUUUCCGUAAUAAAGUUGUAUGUUUAUUUGUAAUAACAAGUUGGUGUAUGUUUAUUUUCUAUUAACAAGUUGGUGAUUUU